rnacentral:lncRNA from 1 species
UUUUAUGUUUGCUGCACAUUUUGACACAUUUCCAUAUUUCUCUCAGUCCUGCUCGACGUACGAAGUCCAGGUGGAGAUGCAGUCGUCCGGGCUUCCCAAACUCAAAAUCAAACGCACGGACUCUGACGCGGCGAGCCCGGCGCUGCAGAGGCGGAGCCGAGCGGAGGCGGCGUGUUCGUCUCCGUGCGCUCACCAGACGCCGGCGAAGGCGGUAAGAGCGGGCAAACCUUCAUCUGCCAGUCGUACACGCCCACGCGAGGACAGACGUCGCCCGUCGCGCUCACGCCGUCGCCGCAGAGCUCCGGGAAACUCACGCCGACUACCUGAACAGCUGGCCCCGCAGGAAGAGGGUCGCCGUGCGAGAGGAGGGCGGGGCAAGGAGCGCCACAAGGAGACACAGCGCUGCAGUGCCGAGGACGACCAGGCGGCGGCGCUGGAGUGCGAGCUGGGCGUGCGGCGGCUGCAGGACGCGGAGGACGAGCAGAGGACGGGGCUGAUGUGGAUGGACAAGAUGGAGGACGAGCUGUGGAGCGGAGACGCAGCGGCCGCAGAGACUCCGCCCAGCUCCAGGAAGAGGAAACCGGUCACAGCGAGCGGCAUCUUAGCCCUGACCAGCUCCCCUCUGCUGUUCAAGACCUCAGGGUCCAAGAGGACGCCCGACUGCAAAGGAGAUUCCACGUUCGAUCCCAACGUGUCGCCUUUUGGGAAACCGCUCCGACGCUCCGGCUCCAAACCUCAGUCGCAAAGACUCCUGCCUGAAACUGAAAUCCUGCCCCUAAAACUUAAGAGACUC